AGGCAAUUUCCUUGUUAUCAUAACUGCAUCCAGAAGGCAAUAAUAAGUCCCAUACAAUAUCACACUAUUGGAUUUCAUAAUCAGAAUGCAAUGCAACAACUCAAGAAUUCAACUCUCUUUUUUCACUUCACACAACUUCUAUAAAAAUCGCAAUUAGUGGAUUCAUGUGUUUGCCUUUAAGCAUAUUUACUUCAGCAUUUAACCAAAAUACAUCUACCAUAUAAGGAUACUUAGGCAUAUAUAUUGAAAUUUUUGCAUCUCAAAUCAGUGGGAGAUUAUAUUAAAAUUUCACCAAAAAAACUGACUCUGAGUCUCAGACAUAUACACAUAAUCCAUUACUAAUACUCAAGUCCAAGUAACACAGCUUUAACUACAAAUAUAAUGGUGUCAAAUAGAAAACUGCAUGCUCAGCAAUAAUUCAGAUUUCUUACAGCUAAUGGUUCUUUGCACUUAUUAGAGUUAAACUAAUACACCACCUACAACUGUAAUAGUCUUCGUUUCAGAUUUUAGCUCCACCAGUCAAUGGUCAUACCAGAGCCAGGUUGCCUUUAAAACAUAAAUCCUGAAAUGUCAUUAGCGUGAGAACUGAAGCGCCCUCUCUCUUCAACUUUUUGCGAAUAAUAAUAAUGAUGAUAAUAAUAACUCCAGUUUGCGAUAUGUUCAAAAUGUUAUCCCUAUCCUUCCAAACGAAACUUUAUAGACUUCUUGGCCAUAUAUUUCACAUGAAAUACUCAGAAAGG
rnacentral:misc_RNA from 1 species